rnacentral:rRNA from 1 species
UGGCGGACGGGUGAGUAACGCGUGGGUAACCUGCCUUGUACUGGGGGACAACAGUUGGAAACGACUGCUAAUACCGCAUAAGCGCACAGUACCGCAUGGUACAGUGUGAAAAACUCCGGUGGUGUGAGAUGGAUCCGCGUCUGAUUAGCCAGUUGGCGGGGUAACGGCCCACCAAAGCGACGAUCAGUAGCCGACCUGAGAGGGUGACCGGCCACAUUGGGACUGAGACACGGCCCAA